rnacentral:rRNA from 1 species
AGUGAACGCUUGCGGCGUGCCUAAUACAUGCAAGUCGAACGAAGUGGCGCACGGGAGAGUAAUAUAUAGUUAAUCUGCCCUACACAGAGGAACAACAGUUGGAAACGACUGCUAAUACCUCAUAGUGUAGGAUGAGACUAUAUCGUAUCAGCUAGUUGGUAAGGUAAUGGCUUACCAAGGCGAUGACGCGUAACUGGUCUGAGAGGAUGAGCAGUCACAUUGGAACGGAGGCACGGUGCAAACUCCUACGGGAGGGAGCGGUAGGGAAUAUUGCGCAAUGGGGGAAAACCUGACGCAGCAACGCCGCGUGGAGGAUGACACUUUGCGGAGAGUAAACUCCUUUUAUCAGGAAAGCGGUACCUGCUGAAUAAGCACCGGCUAACUCCGUGCCAGCAGCCGCGGUAAUAC